ensembl:lncRNA
GCUCAUUAGUUAGUUUUCAGCUUUUUAGUUUUUAUUGAAGUAUCUAGAUGAUGAUAGGAAUGCUCUUUAAGUUUUAUGUUUGGCGUGGCACUGUACGCGUCGAACGGGGUUCAUGUUUAUAUCUUUGAAAGCAUCAUUUCUGACAGCCCCUGAACGCAACAUCACAGCUCGCUAAUUUGUCCUGAAGUCUUCUCUGACAACAGAACAUCGAUCAUCUCCUCUGUGGUUAAACCUCACUGCUGGUGAAUUAUUGCUGACACUGAGCUGUGUCCUGCUGGCCAGCAUCUCUCCUCUAUCAUAAACGCUCUCUGUCUAUCCUAUACCUUCUAUCCACUCUGUCUCAUUAUUGGAACCUCUAUCUAUCCUAUCACAUCUACCGCUCUGUCUUUGAUAUCCACAACUCUAUCUUUGUAUCCCCCUUCUAUCCACUCUGUCUCAUUAUUGGAACCUCUAUCUAUCCUAUCAAAUCUACCGCUCUGUCUACAAUAUACAAUUCAGGUUACUAAUACCUGAUCUAACCACAUAACGUUGGUUACCCUUUAUUACAACAACCUCACAAGUACCUGAUCCAUCUUUUGAUGAACAAACUCUGCUGAACCACAUUACGUUGGUACCCUUUGUUACAACAACCUCAGGUUACAAGUACCUGUUCUACUAGAUCUACUAUCAGAUUAUCCUCUUUUAAUCUUCUAUCUACACGCAAUAGAAUACGAUUACUAUCUACAAAUUGGGCAAAGCUUUUGGAAUAAACUGAGUCUGUUUUAGUCAGAAUUAGUUUGAACGUAAAAUUGGAAAAAAGGUUAACAGGAUAUUUAUACACAUAGCACGGUUUCUUUAAUUGAAUAUCACUAGAUAUAUUAGCAAAAUUAUUGUUUACUUUAUUUAAAAUCUUUUUCAUAUACACAUACAUUGUUUAAGUGUCCAAGUGUUUUGUUGUUAAACUUUUCAUACUGAAAUAAAAUACAAGCAUCUGUCAGAAUUGGA